UACGAAGGGGGCUAGCGUUGCUCGGAAUGACUGGGCGUAAAGGGCGCGUAGGCGGCUUGUAUAGUCGGAUGUGAAAUUCCUGGGCUUAACCUGGGGGCUGCAUACGAUACGUAUGGGCUUGAGUGUGGCAGAGGAAGGUGGAAUUCCACGUGUAGCGGUGAAAUGCGUAGAGAUGUGGAGGAACACCGAUGGCGAAGGCAGGUCUCUGGGCCGUAACUGACGCUGAGGAGCGAAAGCAUGGGGAGCGAACAGG
rnacentral:rRNA from 1 species